GAUCCUCCAGUGAAGUGAGAAGCUUUAUAGUCCUGUGAGUUGAAGACUGCAGGACUCAGAUCUGUCAGUCAACACAGCAGGAAGCACAAUCACCAUGACUGUCAUCACCAUCCUCAUCUGGACGCUGGUCUGCUGCUGUUUCACAGGAUGCAGCGGUCAGGUGACUGUGACUCAGCCUCCAGAAGUGACAUUUACUCCAGGAUCCACUGCCACUCUGACCUGUAAAACCAGCCAAGAUGUUUACAGAUACAGUGGUGGAGAACAGGGUAUGUUCUGGUACCAACAGAAAUCUGGAGAGACUCCAAAGCUCCUAAUAAGAUAUGUGAGCACACGUGAAUCAGGAAUACCAGCUCGGUUCAGUGGCAGUGGAAGCGGCUCUGACUUCACUUUGACCAUCAGUGGAGUUCAGACUGAAGAUGCAGCAGUUUACUACUGUCAGAGUGUACAUAAUAUAGGCAGUAACUGGCCGGUGACAUUUACUCCAGGAUCCACUGUGUCUCUGACCUGUAAAACCAGCCAAAAUGUUGCAACUUGUAGUGGUAGUCCAUGUAUGUUCUGGUACCAACAGAAAUCUGGGGAAACUCCAAAGCUCCUAAUAAGACAAGUGAGCACACGUGAAUCAGGAACACCAGCUCGGUUCAGUGGCAGUGGAAGCGGCUCUGACUUCACUUUGACCAUCAGUGGAGUUCAGACUGAAGAUGCAGCAGUUUACUACUGUAAGAGUGUACAUGUAAUAAACAGUGCUGAUGUGAUCACACGGUGAUUUGUAGUCGUACAAAAACCUUCCUCAGUCAGA